UUCGUAGGGGGUUUGUCAAGUCUGAUGUGAAAUCCCGCGGCUCAACCGCGGACGUGCAUUGGAUACUGCCGAACUAGAGUUCUUGAUGGGAAAGCGGAAUUCCAGGUGUAGCGGUGGAAUGCGUAGAUAUCUGGAAGAACACCAGCGGCGAAGGCGGCUUUCUGGCAAGAGACUGACCCUGAUGGACGAAAGCGUGGGUAGCGAACA
rnacentral:rRNA from 1 species